ensembl:ncRNA F28B1.13 ncRNA
AGGGCGACUGGUGGUUGCCCUAUUCUUUAUUCUCUCUUAUUUAUCGAUUUUUUUGUUAUUCAACUAUCUUU